AACGUAGGAGACAAACGUUAUCCGGAAUUACUGGGCGUAAAGCGUGCGCAGGCGGUUUUGUAAGUCUGACGUGAAAUCCCCGGGCUUAACCUGGGAAUUGCGUUGGAGACUGCAAGGCUGGAGUCUGGAAGAGGGGGGUAGAAUUCCACGUGUAGCAGUGAAAUGCGUAGAGAUGUGGAGGAACACCGAUGGCGAAGGCAGCCCCCUGGGUCAAGACUGACGCUCAUGCACGAAAGCGUGGGGAGCAAACAGG
rnacentral:rRNA from 1 species